CCUACGGGAGGCAGCAGUGGGGAAUCUUGCACAAUGGGCGAAAGCCUGAUGCAGCGACGCCGCGUGCGGGACGAAGGCCCUCGGGUUGUAAACCGCUUUCAGCAGGGACGAGGCGAGAGUGACGGUACCUGCAGAAGAAGCCCCGGCUAACUACGUGCCAGCAGCCGCGGUAAU
rnacentral:rRNA from 1 species